GAGUUAGUAAUUAAUAAUAAUAUCUAAAUUGCAAAUAGAAAUAAUUGACCUAUCAAUCUAACCCA
rnacentral:tRNA from 1 species